rnacentral:rRNA from 1 species
GAUGAACGCUGGCGGCGUGCUUAACACAUGCAAGUCGAACGGGAUCCAAGGAGCGUUUUUCGUUUUUUGGUGAGAGUGGCGAACGGGUGAGUAACACGUGAGUAACCUGUCCUUUUCUUUGGGAUAAGCUCCUGAAAGGGUGUUUAAUACCUUAUGUUCUGUCUGCCUCGCAUGGGGUGGGUGGGAAAGAUUUUUUCGGUGAAGGGUGGGCUCGCGGUCUAUCAGCUUGUUGGUGGGGUGAUGGCUUACCAAGGCUUUGACGGGUAGCCGGCCUGAGAGGGUGGUCGGUCCCAUUGGGACUGAGAUACGGCCCAGACUCCUGCGGGAGGCAGCAGUGGGGGAUAUUGCACAAUGGGCGCAAGCCUGAUGCAGCGACGCCGCGUGGGGGAUGAAGGCCUUCGGGUUGUAAACUUCUUUUGCUCUGAACAAGGCGCAUCUUUGGGGUGUGUUGAGUGUAGGGGUUGAUUAGCGCCGGCUAACUACGUG